GUGGGGAAUCUUGCGCAAUGGGCGAAAGCCUGACGCAGCGACGCCGCGUGGGGGAUGACGGCCUUCGGGUUGUAAACCUCUUUUACCACUAACGCAGGCUCGGGGUGUUCUCCGGGUUGACGGUAGGUGGGGAAUAAGGACCGGCUAACUACGUGCCAGCAGCCGCGGUAAUACGUAGGGUCCGAGCGUUGUCCGGAAUUAUUGGGCGUAAAGAGCUCGUAGGCGGUAUGUCGCGUCUGCUGUGAAAGACCGGGGCUUAACUUCGGUUUUGCAGUGGAUACGGGCAUGCUUGAGGUAGGUAGGGGAGACUGGAAUUCCUGGUGUAGCGGUGAAAUGCGCAGAUAUCAGGAGGAACACCGGUGGCGAAGGCGGGUCUCUGGGCCUUACCUGACGCUGAGGAGCGAAAGCAUGGGUAGCCAACAGGAUUAGAUACCCUGGUAGUCC
rnacentral:rRNA from 1 species